GACGAACGCUGGCGGCGUGCUUAACACAUGCAAGUCGAACGGAACGGCCCUGCUUUUGUGCGGUGGUCGGGUGGCGAACGGGUGAGUAACACGUGAGUAACCUGCCCUUGACUUUGGGGUAACUUCAGGAAGCUGGGGCUAAUACCGGAUAGGAGCUCCUGCUGCAUGGUGGGGGUGGGAAAGUUUCGGCGGUUGGUGAUGGACUCGCGGCUUAUCAGCUUGUUGGUUGGGUAGUGGCUUAGCAAGGCUUUGACGGGUAGCCGGCCUGCGCGGGUGACCGGCCACAUUGGGACUGGGAUACGGCCCGGCCUCCUCUGGGAGGCAGCAGUGGAGAAUAUUGUACUAUGGGCGGAAGGCUGAUGCAGUCACGCAGCGUCGGGGAUGAGGGCAUUGGGGUAGUAAACCGCUUUCGCCUGUGACGAAGCGUGAGUGACGGUACUGGGUAAAGAAGCACCGGCUAACUACGUG
rnacentral:rRNA from 1 species